rnacentral:rRNA from 1 species
AUUGAACGCUGGCGGCAUGCCUUACACAUGCAAGUCGAACGGCAGCACGGGAGCAAUCCUGGUGGCGAGUGGCGAACGGGUGAGUAAAGUAUCGGAACGUGCCCAGUCGUGGGGGAUAACGUAGCGAAAGUUACGCUAAUACCGCAUACGAUCUAUGAAUGAAAGCGGGGGAUCGCAAGCCCUCGCGCGAUUGGAGCGGCCGAUAUCAGAUUAGGUAGUUGGUGGGGUAAAGGCUCACCAAGCCGACGAUCUGUAGCUGGUCUGAGAGGACGACCAGCCACACUGGGACUGAGACACGGCCCAGACUCCUACGGGAGGCAGCAGUGGGGAAUUUUGGACAAUGGGCGCAAGCCUGUUCCAGCCAUGCCGCGUGCAGGAUGAAGGCCUUCGGGUUGUAAACUGCUUUUGUACGGAACGAAAAGGUUUGACUUAAUACGUUGGACUCAUGACGGUACCGUAAGAAUAAGCACCGGCUAACUACGUGCCAGCCGCCGCCGUAA